AAUUUUCCGCAAUGGGCGAAAGCCUGACGGAGCAACGCCGCGUGAGGGAAGAAGGNCUNNGGAUCNUNAACCUUUGUCAUCGANNNNNAUAACGACGGUCCUCGAGGAGGAAGCCCCGGCUAACUACGUGCCAGCAGCCGCGGUAAUACGUAGGGGGCGAGCGUUGUCCGGAAUUACUGGGCGUAAAGGGUACGUAGGCGGCUAUAUAAGUCAGGUGUGAAAUACCAGUGCUUAACACUGGAAUUGCAUUUGAAACUGUGUAGCUUGAGUGCAGGAGAGGAAAGUGGAAUUCCUAGUGUAGCGGUGAAAUGCGUAGAGAUUAGGAGGAACACCAGUGGCGAAGGCGACUCUCUGGUCUGUAACUGACGCUGAGGCGCGAAAGCGUGGGGAUCAAACA
rnacentral:rRNA from 1 species